rnacentral:misc_RNA from 1 species
GAUGAAGAACGUAGCGAAAUGCGAUAAGUAAUGUGAAUUGCAGAAUUCAGUGAAUCAUCGAAUCUUUGAACGCACAUUGCGCCCGCCAGUAUUCUGGCGGGCAUGCCUGUCUGAGCGUCAUUUCAACCCUCAUGCCCCUAGGGCGUGGUGUUGGGGAUCGGCCAAAGCCCGCGAGGGACGGCCGGCCCCUAAAUCUAGUGGCGGACCCGUCGUGGCCUCCUCUGCGAAGUAGUGAUAUUCCGCAUCGGAGAGCGAUGAGCCCCUGCCGUUAAACCCCCAACUUUCCAAGGUUGACCUCAGAUCAGGUAGGAAUACCCGCUGAACUUAAGCAUAUCAAUGAGCGGAGGA